UGUCUCUUUAAUUUGAGCAGGACACAUUAUAAUAGGCUGCCUUUAUCCCUAUCUUAGCGAAUUGCAUAGUCAGCUAUCAACAUUAUGAAAAUGAUCGUGCCAUUUAGUACUGUCAAACUUAACGUGUUUAAUAAUUUCUGUUAGGUUAAUUUAAAACAUUAAACACAUUAGAAAUUAAUCGUGGGUUGACCGCGAUUUCACUUCGUUGUAUAUGAGAGGUUGUAGUGAGCUCACUUUUGCUGCUAGGAUGAAGACUAUGGUAUUGAAUUAAACGGGAAAACAUCAGGCAUGCGUACCACUCUAAACGUGCUAACAAAUAGGGAAGGGGGC